CCGCAACGAUCGCAACCCCUCUCUUUAGUAACCAGCGAGUAAAGUCGGGGACUCUAGAGAGACUGCCGGGGUUCACCCGGAGGAAGGUGGGGAUGACGUCAAAUCAUCAUGCCCCUUACGCCUUGGGCUACACACGUGCUACAAUGGGCGCUACAACGAGCAGCGAGCCGGCAACGGUAAGCGAAUCUCAAAAAGGCGUUCUCAGUUCGGAUUGCGGGCUGCAACCCGCCCGCAUGAAGGAGGAGUUGCUAGUAAUCCCGAAUCAGCAUGUCGGGGUGAAUGCGUUCCCGGGUCUUGUACGCACCGCCCGUCACGCCAUGGGCGUCGGGAGUACCCGAAGUCGGCGCGCCAACCUAAGCGAUUAGGAGGCAGCCGCCUAAGGUUAGCUCGAUGACUGGGGUGAAGUCGUAACAAGGUAGCCGUAUCGGAAGGUGCGGCUGGAUCACCUCCUUUAAGGAA
rnacentral:rRNA from 1 species